rnacentral:lncRNA from 1 species
CCUUUUCAUAGAUCGAUGAUCUCCACUACUGGUAGGUGUGGUAUGAAGCUCUCACUGAUACCGAGCAGCAACACAGGUCAUCCGACCUCUUCAGAUCAUCCACUCGAAGCCCUGAUCGAAUCUUCCUUCGUGGGAGUGCUAGCUCACGUCAAAGGCUCUGGAUUGCUGAUCCAAGCUCCUUUCUUCAGAUCUCCUGGACUUCUCUAGAUUAGAAGAUAAAGCUUUACGAGGAGGUGGUGG